CCCAAGCACGUGCAAGGUGAACAGGUGGCGGCUGGAUGGCCCUCUUGGCUCUCCGCCGUCGCUGGUGAAGCUAUCAAUGGAUGGACCCCGCGACGUGCUGAUACUUUUGAGAAGAUUGACAAGAUUGGGCAGGGUACUUAUAGUAAUGUGUACAAAGCUAGGGAUACUAUGACAGGGAAAAUUGUUGCAUUGAAGAAGGUUCGGUUUGACAAUUUGGAGCCGGAGAGUGUAAAAUUUAUGGCUAGGGAAAUUUUGAUUUUGCGCCGUUUAGAUCAUCCCAAUGUUGUAAAACUGGAAGGUUUGGUCACCUCAAGGAUGUCUUGUAGUCUGUACCUUGUUUUUGAAUACAUGGAGCAUGAUUUGGCUGGACUAGCAGCAAGCCCAAAUAUCAAUUUCACAGAGCCUCAGGUCAAAUGUUAUAUGCAUCAGUUGUUAUCUGG
rnacentral:misc_RNA from 1 species